AUCCAGCUGACGAGUUCCAAAUAGGACAUCGAAACGCGCGUCAAACUAGAU
rnacentral:hammerhead_ribozyme from 1 species